UGCCGCCGAGAGGAGAGCGUUGCUGGGGCUGGCGCAGGCAGGCAGGAGGACCGGGCAGCACGAUGGGUCACGGACGGGGACAACACAACAAGGGCCGGCGGGUGGACAGACCUCGAGUCGGGGCCAUCAAGCGUGCACUGAACUCUCAGUCAAGUCUUCGUAUGAGGCAAAUCUCCCUAAUCCUGCUGGUGAUCUUCCUCUCAUAUCCUCUUCUCUCUGGGCUGCUGAUGGGGGAGCCUCCCUCUGUGCUUGCUAACAACCCUCCUGGACCCUUUGAUGUGGAACUCUCGGUGAAGAGAGGAAAGAGCCCACAGCCCCCAUCAGUUCAGAUCUUCCUGUUCCUCUUUUCAUCCAAGUUAACAUAAUAGUCACUUCUGGAGUGGGAGAGCAAAACCAACUGAAUUAAUAAAAUAACCACAACAGGACUGAAGACUGGCUCCACCCCACGGACCCAACAUAUAGACACAUACAUGCAGAGUGGGGGCUCUACAGCAACAACCUGCCUGAGUAGGGAAUGAUUCCGAUUCCUUACCUGAAAUAUGUCCUUCUCAUCCUCAAAGAUCUUUGAACAAUGAUUUGCGCAUCAGAUAUUUAAUCAUCAAACCAAGGAGUUGCAAGAUCAUUGCUUGAAAAGUGGAUACAGGAAGGACCCAAUUACAGAAGGAACAUAGUCGUUACAGAACUCUGUCUGUCCUGCUCCAAUGGCAGCAACAAGAGGGAACCACAAAGGCUUGAGUGUGGGACUGUGGGCUGUGUGGCAUAGUGGGGAAGGAUUACAAAUCAGCCUGGUUUGAAUCCUGCCUCUGCCGCUGCCAUGAACUGAGUAAGCCAUUCUCUCUCAUUCUCUGCCCCCUCUGCCCAGGGAUAAAACAGGAAUAAUCCCUCAAUAGAGGGAUAAAACUACUAACCUACCUUACAAGUGUGCUGUAAAGACUGCAACAAACUAACAUGCAGUUAUUUGAAUACUCUGAAACAUUGCUGUUGCUACUUUAUUUAUAUAUUGUGCUUUUAUUGUAUAGUAACUUUUUGGUUUGUGAGGUGCUUUGAGGUCCUUUGAAUGAAAAACAUCAUAUAAAUUGUAAUUAUCAUAAUCAAGCACUAUAUAAAAGUAUGGUAUUAGUGGUAUUAUUACAUGGUUCUGCUGAUCACUUAAAAUAUCAGUGCUUUCAUGGAGCAGUGAUCUCCCCAUAGCUUUAUACUGAAUUGACCCUUGCAUGGCCAUCAUCUGACAACUGCAUGGUGAUCACAGACAAGACAUUAUGAGAUGAGUCUUAAUAUUAACUCACAAUACAUUCCUCUGCAGGCAAGUGAGAAGCAGUAUGAAUCUAUAUUGAGACCAUGCACUGAUUUCACAUGUGUAUGUUCAUAAUAAUUCAGGUUGGAAUCCUUUGCACACUUACAUAGGGGUACACUGGGCCCAUAGCCAGGGGGUAUUCAGGGGUACAUCCCCCCAUAGGUUUCUUUCUCCUCUCCCAGCUGUAGUCCCCAUCCAGGAUGCUAUUUUCCUGUAUUUGAGCUGGCAUGGGGGAUGGGCAGAAACUUUUAAAUUGCCCGCUGGUGCCAGCCAAUGCAAAGCUUUGCCUGCAGGUCUGCAGCCAUUUGGAGGUUCUCCAGAGCUACCUGAUGAUCAUUUUCAGUGCCUUUGGGUUCCUAAGCCCCAUUGAACAAAGUGGGACUUGCAUCUGAGUAAGCAUGCAGUGUUGUGCUGUCAAGGACUUUGGAACAUAGGAAGCCACCAUAUACUGAGUCAGACCAUUGGUCCAUCUAGCUCAGUAUUGUCUACACAGAAUGGCAGCAGCUUCUCCAAGGCUGCAGGCAGGAACCUCUCUCAGCCCUAUCUUGGAGAUGCCAGGGAGGGAACUUGGAACCUAGACACUCUUCCCAGAGCAGCUCCAUCCCCUAAGGGGAAUAUCUUAUAGUGCUCACACAUCAAGUCUCCCAUUCAUAUGCAACCAGGGUGGACCCUGCUUAGCUAAGGGGUUAAGUCAUGCUUGCUACUACAAAACCAGCUCUCCUCUCUUCACUUCUCAAUGACUUAACAACUGCAUGUGUGAAAUGCCACGGGGGUGGGGGGGGUGGCGUUUAUAUUUUAGAUGAUAUGAAAGGUCAGUUUGUGGCCCAUGAUCUGUUUCACAUAUGUAAUCAUUUUGGUGCUGCAGUUGUUGAAUAAUAAACAAGCAUGUACAAAAUUAUCCCAGGGUAUUUUUUUCAAUGUCUUGCUUUGAAUGAUUGUCUACAUAAUGUUCCAUGUUAAUAUAUGUCUGUAAGGGAUUUGGAACUAUUUUUCUGGCAUAGACAAGACAGGAAAGCUACUGUCAGCAAGACGAAAGUUAUAUAGGAAGGUAAUAACCUAUAUUUGAGGAAACUGCAACCUUUCACUAGGGAGAAAGCUACCCAAUGUCCUCCUAAGAACUACUGCAAUGGGGAGAAAUAGCAAGAUGAUUUGAGUGUAAAAACAUACGAGCUCUUCCUGUACUAGAGGGGUUGUGGGCAAAGGGCAAUGAUUGUCAGAUGUAACAUGACUAGAAAGUCACCGCAGGCUCAGCUUCUGUCUAAAUCUCUAGGCCCUCUUUCCCCAAGGCUCACUAUAAAGGCAACUAUAAAUAAAUGGACAGAUUAACUCAAAUGAAAUUCUUUAAAAAUGUAUACACCACUUUGAAACAUCGAGAAGUUAUAGACAGUAGCUGGGGGACUAUGUAACCAGAAUGGGAGUAGUGAGCUAUUGAAGUAGGAGAAGAGGAUGGUGAUGCGCAAAGGGGCGAGGGUAGGGAGUGAGUGGUCAUUUGAGCAACAUACUACAUGAGUACAACAAUAUUCCUCAGCCCUAUUAUUACACCUAUCCCUAGGUCACAUGUUCAUUUAAAUUAUACCACCUUGUGGACACCUUUCCAUUAUCUCCACCAUUAUAACAAAUUAUGUUGGGAGGUUGUUUCUGAGUUUCUUUGAAUUCAUUUUUCAGGUUGCUUUAAUUUGUAUCAUACUUGAAACAUAACUGAUACUGUAUGCUUAAUUAAUUUAUUUUGUCUAUGCAACUUGCAAUGAUAUAAUCAAUAUUCAUGUAUAUGCUUGUCAAUCAUGACCCAUUGAAUGCUGUUGUAACAGGAAUUGACUUGCUUUUUUGUUCUAGUUUGAUUCAUUUUUUAAAGCUUAAUUCUUUUUUUUGACCUUA